rnacentral:rRNA from 1 species
UUGUCGAUUAUUGGGCGUAAAGCGCGCGCAGGCGGUUCCUUAAGUCUGAUGUGAAAGCCCCCGGCUCAACCGGGGAGGGUCAUUGGAAACUGGGGAACUUGAGUGCAGAAGAGGAGAGCGGAAUUCCACGUGUAGCGGUGAAAUGCGUAGAGAUGUGGAGGAACACCAGUGGCGAAGGCGGCUCUCUGGUCUGUAACUGACGCUGAGGCGCGAAAGCGUGGGGAGCGAACAGGAUUAGAUACCCUGGUAGUCCACGCCGUAAACGAUGAGUGCUAAGUGUUAGAGGGUUUCCGCCCUUUAGUGCUGCAGCAAACGCAUUAAGCACUCCGCCUGGGGAGUACGGCCGCAAGGCUGAAACUCAAAGGAAUUGACGGGGGCCCGCACAAGCGGUGGAGCAUGUGGUUUAAUUCGAAGCAACGCGAAGAACCUUACCAGGUCUUGACAUCCUCUGACAACCCUAGAGAUAGGGCGUUCCCCUUCGGGGGACAGAGUGACAGGUGGUGCAUGGUUGUCGUCAGCUCGUGUCGUGAGAUGUUGGGUUAAGUCCCGCAACGAGCGCAACCCUUGAUCUUAGUUGCCAGCAUUCAGUUGGGCACUCUAAGGUGACUGCCGGUGACAAACCGGAGGAAGGUGGGGAUGACNUCAAAUCAUCAUGCCCCUUAUGACCUGGGCUACACACNUGCUACAAUGGAUGGAACAAAGGGCNGCAAAACCNCGAGGUCNANCCAAUCCAUAAAUCCAUUCU